UUAUAUCCUUAUGAUGGCUGUUCGAACGACACCAUUUAAUUCUGACGAUGGAUAAAUUGUUUACACUGAACGACACAAACGACAGCUACGCCAACAGCUAGUCGUUUUUUAUACACUGUCCACGGAAUCCCACAGACCCGUUUGUACUACCUCCGCCAAUUUUUUUCCUUUUCUUUUUGCGACUCGCUCCAGUGCGUCUUGCCAAGCCCAUUCCACCACCUCCUCCGACAAUUUGAUCACCAUUUUUAUCUCUCUCAUUCGUUUUUGUUAUUAGUUGCCUUCGUUCAGAAGAACUGCAGAAAAUGAUUGAUUCGCGGAAAAUGACGGCGUACUGGGGAUGGAUGUUGAUUGGAAUCGGAUCGGUUUCUUUUGUUGGAUUCCUUUUCGUGGCUGUUAUAUCAAAGCUUCUUCCUUUUUCCAAUAAUCCCAUCAUCUCAGCCGUUCAAAACGACAGGUAUUACUGCUUCUUGGUACCCUUGACACUUCCAAUACUUGUGAUUGCUGUAUACUUCCAUUGGCUUAGCAUGAAGCUUUUUAAGCAUGCGUGAUGUUCUAAGCUUCAAGCAUCAAAAUUAGAAAACAACACCAUAAGUAUAGAGGAAGAGGAGGAACAAUUGCCUGGUAUUUCUUUAAUCUACCUCGCUAAAUUUCAUACAUGGUGAAUGUAGAUGUUUUAAUAUUAUUGAAUUACAUUGAACUUUCUUUCUCUUUUGAUAUUAUUGCUGCCCUCACUUUUUGAGCAUAUAAGUUGUAUUGUGAAUAGCUAUUUCAAUGAGAAGAAUUCCUGUUUAUUUAAGAAUUUCAGAACACCGGAUAUGUCAUACUUUGAGAUUAUAAGUCAUUUCUAUUUUUUCAACAUUUUUUGGUUCGUUAACUGUAUAUUUUUUAUAAUUAUUUGGAUAAUUUCUUCUUCUUCUUCUUCUUCUUUUCUUUUUUCAAGAAUGAAUUUAUACUGAAAACACAUCGGUGUCUAGCAUACCACAAAGUAAAACUGCUGGUGACUGCUAGUAAUUAUGAUUUGUAUUAGAUAUUCCACUAAUGGCAUACAGGAGGCUAUUAGCUGUUCACUGCAUAAUGCAAUCCAAAGGAACCAAGAUCAUGUUAGUCAAUCUGAAGAUUUUGUGCAUGCUGCUAGAAAUUACCAUAGGAUGCCCUACUUUUCAAUUUUCAAACAUAGGGUGCUUUUCCUUUUUGUUUGAUAUGUUAUCUUUUCAACUAUCUUUUCUCUCUUUUAGAAGAAAAAUUUGCGCUAAACUAGGGAAGAGCAUAUGGUGCGAAGGUGGGAGGUAAUCAUAAUGUAUUUGCUUUGCCAAGAGAAGACAAUAUAUAUUUGCUUAAUUAAGCUGUUCAUGAGGCGUAUACGCUUUCAAUAAUUUAGUAUUCAUUUGAUUUUGAAGCUUUAACCUUUUCGGUAACACUCCUCAACAAAGUGGAGAAUUGCGGCCGCGGGCAUUAUCAUCAAUCAUAACAGACCAGGAAAACUAUGAAUUGAAACAGUGACCCGAUAAGCUUGCAAAAAUGUGCUUAUGUUUCCUGUGCUAUGAUUCCUCUAAGGUUGGUCACUUAUAAGUUAUCACUUGUCAUCCGUUAUCUUUACACUGUGCUGUGUCUUCUUUUCAAAUAGCUUUGAUCUUUUUUUUUUCCCUUAUCUUUUUGAAAACUCCUUUGAUGGAGUUAUUUGGUUACAAUUGUAAAGUUUACUUCAAACCAUUUGCUAAAGAAAAGGGAAGGACACCUCGACGGAUAUAGGUUUCAAUA